GGCCUGGUGGCGCAAUGGCAGCGUGUUGGACUUCGAAUCCAGAGGUUGCGGGUUCGAGACCCGUCCGGGUCG